AGUCAUAUGCAUUUUAGAUUAUCCAAUAAUAAAUCAAUAUAUCAUUUAUUAAUAAAAAAUUAUAUUAUUAAUAUAAAUUUAUUUAAAAAUUAAAAAAAUUAUUAUUGACUAUAAUUAGCCAGCUGAUAAUUUUUAUAAAAAAAUAUUUUUUAAAAUAAUAUAUUAAUUUAUUAUUCUAAUCAAUAAUUCCUCGUGUUCCAUACCACCA
rnacentral:lncRNA from 1 species